rnacentral:rRNA from 1 species
UACGUAGGUGGCAAGCGUUGUCCGGAAUUAUUGGGCGUAAAGGGCGCGUAGGCGGCCUGCUAAGUCGGAUGUGAAAUCCCUCGGCUCAACCGAGGAACUGCAUCCGAUACUGGCGGGCUUGAAUCCGGGAGAGGGAUGUGGAAUUCCAGGUGUAGCGGUGAAAUGCGUAGAUAUCUGGAGGAACACCGGUGGCGAAGGCGGCAUCCUGGACCGGUAUUGACGCUGAGGCGCGAAAGCUAGGGGAGCAAACGGG